AGCCACGUGGUGUAAUGGUUGAAUUGCCCGGCUGCUCUGGACCAGAAUGUUGCAGGUUUGAUUCCUGCCGUAGCUU